AUUAAUGAAGCUGACUUAGUGAGACCAUUACUUCCUAAGGACAUGGAGCGUCUUACAAGCCUUAGAGCUGGCAUUGAAGGACCUUUACUUCCUAGUGAGGUUGAACGUGACAAGUCAGUUGCCAGUCCAGUUGUAAUUAGUAUACCAGAAAGAGCUUCAGAGUCAUCUUCAGAGGAAAAGGACGAUUAUGAAAUUUUUGUAAAAGUUAAGGACACACAUGAGAAAAGCAAGAAAAAUAAAAACCGUGACAAAGGUGAGAAAGAGAAAAAAAGGGACUCUUCAUUAAGGUCUCGGAGUAAGCGUUCCAAGUCUUCUGAACAUAAGUCACGUAAGCGUACCAGUGAGUCUCGUUCUAGGGCAAGGAAGAGAUCAUCUAAGUCCAAGUCUCAUCGUUCUCAAACACGGUCACGGUCACGGUCACGACGUAGGAGGAGGAGUAGCAGAUCAAGAUCUAAGUCUAGAGGAAGACGGUCCGUAUCAAAAGAGAAACGCAAAAGAUCUCCAAAGCAUAGAUCCAAGUCCAGGGAAAGGAAAAGGAAAAGAUCAAGCUCCCGAGACAACCGGAAAACAGUUCGAGCUCGGAGUCGAACUCCAAGUCGUCGGAGUAGGAGUCACACUCCUAGUCGGAGGAGACGGUCUAGAUCUGUUGGUAGAAGGAGAAGUUUUAGCAUUUCCCCUAGCCGAAGGAGCAGAACCCCCAGCCGCAGGAGCAGAACCCCCAGCCGCAGGAGCAGGACCCCCAGCCGCAGGAGCAGGACCCCCAGCCGCAGGAGCAGAACCCCCAGCCGCAGGAGCAGAACUCCCAGCCGUCGGAGAAGAUCAAGAUCUGUGGUAAGAAGACGAAGCUUCAGUAUAUCACCAGUCAGAUUAAGGCGAUCAAGAACACCUUUGAGAAGAAGGUUUAGUAGAUCUCCCAUUCGUCGGAAAAGAUCCAGGUCUUCUGAAAGAGGCAGAUCACCCAAACGUCUAACAGAUUUGGAUAAGGCUCAAUUACUUGAAAUAGCCAAAGCUAAUGCAGCUGCCAUGUGUGCUAAGGCUGGUGUUCCUUUGCCACCAAACCUAAAGCCUGCACCUCCACCUACAAUAGAAGAGAAAGUUGCUAAAAAGUCUGGAGGAGCUACCAUAGAAGAACUAACUGAGAAAUGCAAACAGAUUGCACAGAGUAAAGAAGAUGAUGAUGUAAUAGUGAAUAAACCUCAUGUUUCGGAUGAAGAGGAAGAAGAGCCUCCUUUUUAUCAUCAUCCCUUUAAACUCAGUGAACCCAAGCCCAUUUUUUUCAAUUUGAAUAUUGCUGCAGCAAAGCCAACUCCACCAAAAAGCCAAGUAACAUUAACAAAGGAGUUUCCUGUGUCAUCUGGAUCUCAACAUCGGAAAAAGGAAGCGGAUAGUGUUUAUGGAGAGUGGGUUCCAGUAGAGAAAAAUGGCGAAGAAAGCAAAGAUGACGAUAAUGUGUUCAGCAGCAGCUUGCCCUCAGAGGGCCGGGUUAAACGGCAGGGCCGGGUUAAACGACAGAUGAAACAGCCCGCAGCUUCUCAUUUGACAGUAACUCGAUGCAAUUCACUUUGUGGAACGAAGCCACAAAGUGAAAAGCAUCGAAUUGCAGAGAAAAGUGUUAUCACAUCCCUACCCAACAUUGGGCCCUCCAUGCACUUGUGGGAAGGUAGCCCAAGGUACAACUAUUUAGCUUCCCGAUUUGCUUCAAGGCUCUAUAGCUCUAGAUUUUGGUGGUAGCAAGUUUAUUGGGUGGAGGGAUUGAGGGGAGAGAAGGCAGAUCCUGAGGUUCAACACAAGAACUGCGUUGAGAAAGUUAUUUUAGGCUGAUGUGAACAUCUUGGGUUCAUAGCCCAUUCCCUGACGUGAUGGUAUCUUACUAUUUCUCUGGGUUUUCAGAUAGCCUUUGGUUUCAGUCAUUUCCCUUCCUUGUGCUACCUUAGCCCUUUUGAAUUCUUGUGUUUAACCUAGUGUUCAGCCUUGGUUCUCCAUUCCCUUCUCCUUCCCCUCUUUGCUACUAUUAAAAGUUGGAGGAGUGGAAUUUUAUAUAUUGAAAUUUCUCAAGGCAAUAGUUGUAUCUUGUCAAAAUGACACAGUAACAAUGCCAAAUGUCAAAACAACCCCAUUAAAAUGCCGCCUGAUUAAGUACUGUGCUGCUAAUAAAUACAGUGCACAUGAGAACAGCAAAACUGUAUAUAUAUGUAAAUAUAUAUAUAUCUGUAUCUUUGUAUGUAUCUCUGUAUCUGUAUCUUUGCUGUGUCUUUUAAUAAACAGUUUACUUUUAUUUAA
rnacentral:lncRNA from 1 species